rnacentral:rRNA from 1 species
CUGGCGGCGUGCCUAAUACAUGCAAGUCGAGCGAGCUGAAUUCAAAGAUUCCUUCGGGAUGAUUUGUUGGACGCUAGCGGCGGAUGGGUGAGUAACACGUGGGCAAUCUGCCCUAAAGACUGGGAUACCACUUGGAAACAGGUGCUAAUACCGGAUAACAACAUGAAUCGCAUGAUUCAAGUUUGAAAGGCGGCGUAAGCUGUCACUUUAGGAUGAGCCCGCGGCGCAUUAGCUAGUUGGUGGGGUAAAGGCCUACCAAGGCAAUGAUGCGUAGCCGAGUUGAGAGACUGAUCGGCCACAUUGGGACUGAGACACGGCCCAAACUCCUACGGGAGGCAGCAGUAGGGAAUCUUCCACAAUGGACGCAAGUCUGAUGGAGCAACGCCGCGUGAGUGAAGAAGGUUUUCGGAUCGUAAAGCUCUGUUGUUGGUGAAGAAGGAUAGAGGCAGUAACUGGUCUUUAUUUGACGGUAAUCAACCAGAAAGUCACGGCUAACUACGUGCCAGCAGCCGCGGUAAUACGUAGGUGGCAAGCGUUGUCCGGAUUUAUUGGGCGUAAAGCGAGCGCAGGCGGAAUGAUAAGUCUGAUGUGAAAGCCCACGGCUCAACCGUGGAACUGCAUCGGAAACUGUCAUUCUUGAGUGCAGAAGAGGAGAGUGGAAUUCCAUGUGUAGCGGUGGAAUGCGUAGAUAUAUGGAAGAACACCAGUGGCGAAGGCGGCUCUCUGG